rnacentral:rRNA from 1 species
ACAUGUUUACAAAAUAGAAUUAAUGCACCAAAUCCCAUUAGAACUCUAUAGUUAAGCAUUCUCAGGAUAGAGUAGUACUGGGAUGGCUGACCACCCAAGAAGUCUUAGUGUUUUACAUGCC